GGAAUAUUGGGCAAUGGAGGGAACUCUGACCCAGCGACGCCGCGUGCGGGAUGAAGGCCUUCGGGUUGUAAACCGCUUUCAGCAAGGAAGAAGCGAGAGUGACGGUACUUGCAGAAGAAGCACCGGCUAACUAUGUGCCAGCAGCCGCGGUAAUACAUAGGGUGCAAGCGUUGUCCGGAAUUAUUGGGCGUAAAGAGCUCGUAGGUGGUUCGUCACGUCGGAUGUGAAAAUCUGGGGCUUAACCCCAGACCUGCAUUCGAUACGGGCGAGCUAGAGUGUGGUAGGGGAGGCUGGAAUUCCUGGUGUAGCGGUGGAAUGCGCAGAUAUCAGGAGGAACACCAAUGGCGAAGGCAGGUCUCUGGGCCAUUACUGACACUGAGGAGCGAAAGCGUGGGGAGCGAACAGGAUUAGAUACCCUGGUAGUCCACGCCGUAAACGGUGGGCACUAGUUGUGGGAACCUUCCACGGUUUCUGCGACGCAGCUAACGCAUUAAGUGCCCCGCCUGGGGAGUACGAUCGCAAGAUUAAAACUCAAAUGAAUUGACGG
rnacentral:rRNA from 1 species